UAAGACAGAGGUGGCAAGCGUUGUUCGGAAUUACUGGGCUUAAAGGGCGCGUAGGUGGUGGUAUAAGUCUGGGGUGGAAGAUUAGGGCUUAACCCUAAAAUUGCCUUGGAAACUGUAUCACUUGAGUCAGACAGGGGAUGGCGGAAUUCCCAGUGUAGCGGUGAAAUGCGUAGAUAUUGGGAGGAAGGCCGGUGGCGAAGGCGGCCAUCUGGGUCUGAACUGACACUGAGGCGCGAAAGCGUGGGGAGCAAACAGGAUUAGAUACCCUGGUAGUCCACGCCCUAAACGGUGGGUACUAGGUGUAGGGCUCGUAAGGGUUCUGUGCCGCAGGGAAACCAUUAAGUACCCCGCCUGGGGAGUACGGCCGCAAGGUUGAAACUUAAAGGAAUUGACGG
rnacentral:rRNA from 1 species